CCUACGGGUGGCUGCAGUGGGGAAUAUUGGACAAUGGGCGCAACCCUGAUCCAGCCAUGCCGCGUGUGUGAAGAAGGCCUUCGGGUUGUAAAGCACUUUAAGCAGGGAGGAAGGCUCGUUGGUUAAUAACCAGCGGGAGUGACGUUACCUGCAGAAUAAGCACCGGCAAACUCCGUGCCAGCAGCCGCGGUAAUACGGAGGGUGCGAGCGUUAAUCGGAAUUACUGGGGGUGAUUUGUAAGUUCGCGGGUGAAAUCCCCGGGCUCAACCUGGGUGCUGCAUUCGAGACUGGCAGACUUGAAUACGGUAGAGGGGGGUGGAAUUCCAGGUGUAGCGGUGAAAUGCGUAGAGAUCUGGAGGAACACCAGUGGCGAAGGCGGCCCCCUGGACCGAUAUUGACGCUGAGGUACGAAAGCGUGGGGAGCAAACAGGAUUAGAUACCCGAGUAGUC
rnacentral:rRNA from 1 species